CAUAGUAGGGGCUCGUUUCCCGAGGUUUGAAAAACCUCUCCUAAUUAUCCGUGGUUUCAUUACAGAAACGCAUUUCAAUUUAAUUUAUUUUUUUUAAAUAUAAUUCUAAGGGUUUCUUUGUGAAACUGCCGAAAUGUCGCGCCUUUGCACCUCCGGUGCUUUGUUUUUCACUUCAUCAGAGCUUCGAGUAUUAUUGACUUUCUUCACUACUCCGUUUCCAUCUUCACCUCCGCCUCUCGACUUCUUCAUCUUCAGCUUUCGCGUCUCAAUUUCUCCAUCUUCGUAACCCUUUGUCACUUCGCAGUCAUGGUUUCCUUGCCUUCUCCUCCUCCAAAUCCUUAAUUUCGAAAACCUGAAGCUCACCGACCUUGUGAUUGACUUUUUGAGGAGCUCUCGGAUGGCGUUUUUAAGGAGCUUGUGAUUCGCACAGCCUUCGUGUCUUGCCAUUUCCAUCUCCCAACCUUCGUGUCUCACCGUUUCCAUUUUCACCGCCUUCACGUCUCGACUUCUCCAUUCUCACAGUCCUUCUUCACUUCGCAAUUCCUAAUUCCCUUGUCUUUCCCUGCUUCAAAUCCCUAAUUCUGAAAACCCAAGCAUCAUUAGGAGCUCGCCGAUGUUGCGAUUGGCGUUUUUGAGGAGCUUGCGAGUUGCACAAGGUGGAAUCAGACGUUGACUGGAGCCACCUCCUUCUUCACGGCCUCCUUGACGGUGUUAACAACUUCUUCAGAGGGGAGAUUCCUCAAUCUUUGGGACACCUGAGAAGCCUCCAAUACUUGAGGCUCAAUAAUAACACUCUUGUUGGUGAAUGCCCAAAGUCUCUGGCUAACAUGACCCAACACAAUUUUCUGUAAUACACUUAUGAACUCUUCUGUUUUAUACUUGUAUCUCAUGCAUAAUUUCAGUUUAUAUUUCUAGUUUGGAGGUGUUAUUUGGUGGAGACACAAGCACAAUCAACAAGCAUUCUGAAAUAUACAUGAAUGGGAUCAACAAGCAUAAUUUCAGUUUAUAUUUCUAGUUUAAAGAAGUCUACCUUGGAAACUUGAAGAGGUUUCAAUUCAGAGAACUCCGGAUUUCUACUCACAACUUCAGCAGCAAAAACAUAUUAGGAAAAGGUGGUUUUGGAAAUGUCUACAAAGGAGUUCUCCCUGAUGGUACUCUUGUAGCUGUCAAGAGGCUUAAAGAUGGCAAUACCGUUAGUGGAGAGAUUCAAUUUCAGACGAAGUUGAAAUGAUCAGCUUGGCAGUUCUUCUGUUUCUGAAGAGGCAGAGCCAAGUCCCUUUGUUGGUCAGUGGCAAGGUAAAUUUGUUUCUUUCAUGCGAUCCAACGAGCAUGGAAACCAUGAAACACAAGAAAUGGGACACUUCAGGUCUUCAUGGCUUGCCUCUCAAAUUUGUUCAAGUUGACCAAAAUGCCAGGAAUUGGUGGAGAAAGCUUGAUAUCUUACGUGAUAUUAUAGCUGAAGGUCUGCAAGGGGAAGAUCGGUUGGAGGCUCUCUUGUACUCAGCUAUCUAUCUCAAGUGGAUAAACACGGGGCAAAUAUCUUGUUUUGAAGAUGGAGGUCACCACCGCCCCAAUAGGCAUGCUAAGAUUUCAAGGCUUAUAUUUCGUGAACUAGAGCAACACACUACUCGGAAGGAUAUAUCUCCACAUGUGAUCUAUUAUUAGUUUUGACAGUGGAUCAUGUGGUCCUGAUUGCAUUAUCGAGGUUGCUGAUGUUUAACAAAAGUUAUAUGAGGCCACGUCCUUUAAAAUGUCUGACAUACAUUCAAUGUUAAACGUCCGGGAAUUGAAAAUUAUUGUUUGCACUGCACUCACCCCAUCUAUGGUUCAAGCGGUUUGUGACUCAUUCCCAUCACUCCACACAUGCUCAGGGAGGCACUCACUCAUAAUGACAUGGAAUUUUUUAAUUUGUAUGUAUGCUUUUAUGGCAAGAGUAUAACACAUCUUAUUUCAUGAUGUUGUUAAAUUCGUGGAAUUUUAACUUGUGAAUUUUUUUUUUCAUUAAGUAUUUUUGGAGAAAUUAAGAAAAAAAAUUCGGAUUAACUUGGAAAUUACCUCUGGGACAAAGCAUGGAUGACUACUUGGUCUUUUGGAUUGGACUUGAUGAUUCAGCUUUUGCUAAUGUUGUGCUCAUAUUCAAUACUUGUGAAAUAGGUUGACAGUUUCCCGUCCUUUAAUUUCUCCAUUUAAUUUAUGUUUUCCUUUACAUUGUAUUUCUAUCAUGAAAUGACCCUAGGAAAGCUAUUGGUAAACAUGUGUCAUGUAUUGUACGACAUCUCUAACAAAAAGUCAGAUAUAAUGCAAAUGAAAAUCAAACGGUGACAAACUUGUUUCAACAAAGGAGGAUUCUUAAACAUAGCUGAAUUCAUUACAAUAUAGAAGGAUGUGCAGCUGUGUUAAGUGUGCAUCAAUUUGAAGUUCUUGAUUGUUGGGAACAACAUGCUCGUGUUUACUAUGAACUAUAUGUAUCAAAAUCAACAUUGUUAAUGAACAUCUUUCUCAGUCAUAUUUUUAGUAUUUUAAUUUAGUAUUAAACAUUUUUUUUUAAUUUUUAUAUAUAAAUAAUUAGAUGUAUGAAUUAUAUUAA